rnacentral:tRNA from 1 species
GGCCUCAUAGAUCAGCUGUUAGAGCAUACGCGUACAAAGCGUAGGCGGCGUCCAUGCGUGGGUUCGAACCCCACCGAGGCUA